GCCACCUCUAUCUGGCUCCGCAAGCUGACAGCCAGCCACCGUGCCUUGUAUUUACCCCCACCCCCGUCCCCUCUAUUUGCUGCUCACCAUAAUCAGCCAGUUAGUGCUCUGGGGCGCGUUAUUCAGCCGACCUAGCUGGCACAAUUACCUACUGGCUAACCGCCAAGUCAGCACUAGGCUCUUUAUCCCCUAUGACAACUUGUAUUAACUAACUCGCACCCUAAGCAGAAUUACUUUAAG